GUAUUUUCGACCAAAGGCUUCAAAAGUUCAAUGACCGCUAUCGAAUGCUCAAUCUCUUGUUGAGCAUGCAUUAAAAUUUCGCUCAAAUUCACUAACAUAGCCCAAAAAUAGGCAAGAAUAUCGAUCACAGAAGAACACCAAAUGUUUAAAAGAUUUCUCCCUCUCAACUCACUCUCUGCUAUUCUAGAAAUGAAUAAAAAACUACUCACAAAUGAGGAUAAAUGUUAUUGAUUAACAACCCUUAAAAAUUCUACUUAAGAAUUUACAAGAAUAUCACACAGAUGAUAAAUCUCUCACGGACAGCACAAAGCAGGACAAAGAAUAUCAAGAGACAAGGGUUUCAUCCACACCCUUCAAAUGGCUACAGAUGGUGUAUGUAUCGUUUUCCAUCUAACCAUGCAUCCAAUGGUCAUAAGUACUCCACGCGUGAGCCAUCCAUUCAUUUAGAUGGACUAAAGGAUCAUUGGCCAGCAACCAUUUUCUGGGCUAAAAUGUCAGCAAAUCCAAUCUUUACAAUCGCCACCUUGCCGUAAUUUGAGACAAUAGCGAAGUGCAUUUAAAAACUAAAUAACUAAUUUCAUUUGCACUCGUUACCUGUUCACAAAGAAAGGAAAAAAUAAAAAUAAAAAUAGCAAACUUCAAAUUUCAAUAAUCCCAAAGAAUCAAUGAAUUUACUAAGUGGUAUGUCUCUAAUAAAAUGAAAUUUAACAUCUAUAUGCUUAAAUUUAUCGUGAAAAUUUUGAUUUUUCACUUAAGAAAAUGAUACUUUGAUUAUCUAACCAUAACUCUACCUUACUUUCCAUAACCUAGAUCAUUUAAUAAGCCUU
rnacentral:lncRNA from 1 species